AAACAAUAAUAAAAUCUUAAAAAAGAAAUAACAAAUAACCUUAUCCUUUUUCAGAAUUCUCAGUGAAAAUCAUUUGACCGAAUUACAUAAAGAUUCAUUUGAAGGCCUGCUAUCCCUCCAGUAUUUAGAUUUAUCCUGCAAUAAAAUCCAAUUUAUUGAAAGACGUACCUUUGAAUCACUACCAUUUCUGCAGUAUGUAAAUCUUGGUUGCAAUUUAAUCACUGAACUGAGCUUCCGAACGUUUCAGGCGUGGCAUGGAAUGCAAUUUUUACACAAGGUCAGCACCACAUGCCCUCAGAAGCUGAGUAGGGCCUGGACUACCUGAAACGAACGCUCUGAUUCAAGUGAUCUCAUUUGGAUGCUAACGGAAAAGGGAACUCCAGGAGGCUCGAGGACAGGGGGACAUCUGGGGUUCAUGGGGUAUGUAGACUCAGUGAUUAAGGGGCAUGGGGGAUGGUGGUGCGUUGACCUGGGUCAGGCAAUGGAGACUGGGCCAGUUUGGGAGCAGUCACCCAACCUUGAAGUCUGUCCUGGGCUCACCAAGCUCCAUCUCUCAGCAUUCAGGCCUUCCUGCCCCUGGAGUUCUAGAAAGAUGGUGGAAAUACAGCUUCAUUCGCAUAUCAUAAUACAGUCCAGGGGGUUUUAGUACAUUCAUACAGUUGUGCAAUGAUCACAACUAUCAAAUUUCAAAACAUUUUAUCACUUUCAAAAAAGACCUUAUACCCAUUAGCAGGAAUUCCCCAUUCCACCCUCUCUCCAUCCCCUAGAAACCACUAAUACGUUCUCGGUUUCUAUGGAUUAGCCUAUUCUGGAUGUUUCACAUAAAUAAAAUCAUACACUGUGAGGGCUUCUGCCUCUAACUUCUAUUACUUAGCACAGUAUUUUUAAGAUUCAUCCAUGUUGGGCUGGUGCA